CAAAAGUCUGACCUGCAUAGGCGCAUCUGCUCAGUGUCCUCCUCAGUCAUGCCGAUUACAUAAUUGUUGCUGAGGAGGACUAAUGAGGGAACAUAGCUGUCUGUUAGUUUUUAGUGUGGACACAAAACGGCCAACAAAAAGCCAAGUUUAAAACCAGCCCACCGAGACUUUAAAGCGACAUCCAGAGUGAUUCCGUAGAAACAUGCACUGAACAGGCGGAAAUGGAGGCUAUGCUACAAACCUGACUGCUCAUCACUGCCUUCGUUGCCUGUUGAAGUUCAUGGUCUGACUGCUGGGCUGAGGGAGAGAAAGAAAAAGAGCUAACUUCAAUCAGAGUUGGAGAAAGAUAAGAAAGACUGGAGAGGAAGAGAAGGGUUGUAUUUAAUGCAUCUGUCCAUCCGUCCGUGGCAGGGGGAGUUGGAGCCUAUUAACCACCAAUUUAGGGCGUAUCCAUGAUAACCUCUGCACACAGGUCUUGCCCAUUGAAAUCGAUCGUCAUCUCCCAGGUGCUUUUCUGAAAAAUGACAGAUUAAAGUGAUCAGAUGGCGCUGUGCUCCACUUGCCCUAAUGACCCUUCACCUCCCCUCUUGUGUACGGUGAACAUGAAUCACAGUUUUUGACAGAGAUGGAUUUAUGACAAAGGAAGAAGAGACUUAUGAAGUGCUGAUUGGUGUAACCAGGACUCAACCUGGCAAUAAAGUCUGGCAUUUGGAGAGUACAGAGUGUGUGGAGGGUCAUGCUGUACUGUUCCACUUUGAGUGGUUGUGGAGCUGUCCUUUUGGCUCUUGCUCUGUGGUCUGUCAGAUGGAAGACUGAUGAAAGAAUGAUCAAGGGAGAUCAAACAGAUUUUUCCUGAAACCUCAAAAAUGGCUGAUGUACCAAACCUGUAACACUGCUGGACAUUUUUCUGUAGGAGUUUAGUGUGGAAGUGCUCUGUGGACAUUGCUUUCAUUUAAAACAUGAUAUAGGGGACAAAUAUUGCAAUAGGGUGUACUGUGGCAUGGGGAUACUGUUGGAGUACUGUGUUUAGCUGGUUGUAAGUCAUUGUAUAUUUUUAUAUUUUAAAUUUACAAUAAGAUGACCCAACAGUCUCAACAGCUGUUGGAUAGAUUGCUCUGAAUUAUUUUAAAGACAUGCAUGGUACCCAGGAGGAUGAAGUAUCCAGACUAUUUAGUACAGCCAGGUUCACAUUUUGGGUUUUACAUGAAGUGUCUCAACAGUCAUGAAAUGUCAUAACAUGCUGACAUACGAAACUAUUAAGGUUUUGAACACUGUAAUCAUUACCAAAUGCCAUUUAACAUAUUAGCCCAGUGACUGUAAGGAGAGCUUUACCUUCUAAGUAGUUUUUUUUAUGUUAAAUAACUUCUAUUAUCCAAACUGCUGACAGUAUCACUAUUUCAGUUAUUUAAUCUGUGAAUUUUUUCAGGAGCGAUGUAGCCAGUGUAUAAAACUUCAUAGUUAGUUUGCACAAUUUUUGAAAUCCUGCAUGACUUUUCUUUGCAAAACAACCAUUCUAUCCCUUUAUUUUGCAAAAAAUACUUCUUUCUCAUCCACCGGACUACUGAAUGUUUUCUCUUUUCGUACAAAGGAGAGGAGCUGUACGUUUACAAAGAGCUGGGUGGGGUUUUUUUAACAUUAAUCUAGAUUUAAUAUACAUUCCAAAAUGCAUUUUCCCUAUUAAUUAAAAGUAAACCAUGUAUUGUAUGGUACAUUAUCCCUCUAACGGCCCCAUGUGGAGAUUAUGAAGUGGAAAACUAAUGGUGCAGACUUUAGCAUUUGGAUUUUGUCAUUUACAUAUCUGUAAGGGGAUGUCGAUGUAUGUGCAAAUAAGCAGAACUUUAUGUGUCCCGUGCUUUCUCUGCCGCCACCUUUGUCCUCCCCUUCCCCUCCCCAGUUUACAGAGGAAGUCAAAGAAGAAGUGUUGCCUCUCUCCCCUCAGCUAGAGAAGGUAAUGAGAUUCUGUGCACCCUCUAUUACGAGGAGGAUGAGAAAUCUGAUUAUUAAGGAGAGGCAUGUGGCAGUAAGAAAAAUCUGUUUGUUUUUUUCUUAUUGUAUCACCCCAAGAAACAAAGGUGACCCCCAUGUUCCAUUCAUUAAAUCUUGCCUCCUCUAAUUUAUCAAGGUAAACUAUCACAGUUUCUGCUGAGCUAAUCAGAAAUGGGGAAACUUGUUAGGUGUGCCUCAAAAGGACACAUCACAGGAUUUGGAUAUCACUUCACAUACUGAGUAGGGCCUAAUUCAUGCUUCCUAUUGCACAAUAUAUGUUUUAUGGACAUUAGCAUGAGCGCAUUGUGCAUUUUUUUUCCACACAGGAUACCUUAGGACAAUGAGAAUGAAUUAUGACCUCCAUAACAGAACAAGUGUAAUUAUUUCAAGGACACAGAGUUGCUGCAGGUGUGUCUUCUGAUGCAAAUAUCACAGAAAAUAUAAUUUUUUUGCGGUAUAUUGUGAGCCCACACUUAUUGUUAUUUAUGGUAAAAUUUCAAUACCCAGGGACUGCAAAAUUGAAUUUAGCCACGAGAGAGGGAGAGAGAGAGGGAUUCACAACAGAAUCGUUAUUACUGUUAGUGUUAAUAUUCGUCAAAUAUGUCAUUCUCAUGCGCUUAAAGAAUAAUUGUGUUAAUAUGCUACAAAUAAUGUGAACUAUGUUUGUAGAUUAAAAAAAUAUUGUCUGUGGUCCGUGCAUGAGACACGCAUGUAUCAAAACAGUGUGC
ensembl:lncRNA